rnacentral:rRNA from 1 species
UAUAGCGUAUAUUAAUGUUGUUGCAGUUAAAAAGCUCGUAGUUGGAUUUUGGAGUUUGACAAGUGGUCUGCCUAAGGUGUGUACUGCUUGUCGGCUCUUCUUUUCUGGGGACCACGCUGCUCUUUAUUGAGGGGUGCUGGGAAUCAGAUCUUUUACUUUGAAAAAAUUAGAGUGUUCAAAGCAGGCCCACGCAUUGAAUACAUUAGCAUGGAAUAAUGGAAUAGGACUUUGGUCUUAUUUUGUUGGUUUCUAAGGCCGAGGUAAUGAUUAAUAGGGAUAGUUGGGGGCGUUUAUAUUCCAUUGUCAGAGGUGAAAUUCUUGGAUUUAUGGAAGAUAAACUACUGCGAAAGCAUUCGCCAAGGAUGUUUUCAUUAAUCAAGAACGAAAGUUAGGGGAUCGAAGAUGAUUAGAUACCAUCGUAGUCUUAACCAUAAACUAUGCCGACUAGGGAUUGGUGGACGUUUGUUAUGACUCCAUCAGCACCUUAUGAGAAAUCAAA